rnacentral:pre_miRNA from 1 species
UUUAAGUGCAACCAUGAGUUUUCGUGCCCAAUUUUGAUCGUCCAUCUUAUUUGAAAUUUUUUUGUAAUUAGUUUUUUUUUUGUUGUUAUGAGAUGAUAAAACAUAAAUAGUACUUUAUGUGUGACUUAUGUUUUCAAAUUUUUUUAAAUAAGACGGACGAUCAAAGUUGAGUACGGAAAAGUAUGGCUGCACUUAAA